UGCAGGGGAGUGGUUUCUCUACAUUUACAGGGUGGCAGGCAGACGGGAUCCAGCUGGUGCUCAUCAAGACCAAUCAGCGAAGGCCUUUAAUAGGAGCGGCUUCCCUGAGGCAGACGCCAGAUGAUUUUGCUUCUAUAGUGAGAACCAGCCCUGAUCAACCCCUCGUGCUCAGUCUACCUAAUUACCUGGUCCUCGCUGCUCUGCUAAAACUAGCUCCUGGAUACCUCCACUACCACCAGCUGCUGCUGCCUGUCCACCCUCAGUCUCAUGCUGGAACUCCUCCCCCCGGAAAUCCCACACUGCACCGACUGCUGGAAAACCCAUGUACCCACCUCUGCUCAUCCUAACCCUCAGACAUUCCUCCUCUGGCCCGGUUCCUCCCUGCUGCUGCAGAUCAACGCCUCUCUAUUCUCUCCCCAUUUGCACUCAUUGUUCAAUAAAUCUGUUAAACUGUGCUUGGUGUCCGUAGUUGUUGCUUGCCUUCGAGUCCUGGUAACCCCUCACCAUGACAGAAGGAUGUUGCAGGCAGCAAACCGCUCUCCACAGCGUCUCCAGACU